rnacentral:rRNA from 1 species
GGUUGUGAACUCGAAGAGUAGGGCGGGACACGUGGUAUCCUGUCUGAAUAUGGGGGGACCAUCCUCCAAGGCUAAAUACUCCUGACUGACCGAUAGUGAACCAGUACCGUGAGGGAAAGGCGAAAAGAACCCCGGCGAGGGGAGUGAAAAAGAACCUGAAACCGUGUACGUACAAGCAGUGGGAGCACCUUCGGGUGUGACUGCGUACCUUUUGUAUAAUGGGUCAGCGACUUAUAUUCUGUAGCAAGGUUAACCGUAUAGGGGAGCCGCAGGGAAACCGAGUCUUAACUGGGCGUUAAGUUGCAGGGUAUAGACCCGAAACCCGGUGAUCUAGCCAUGGGCAGGUUGAAGGUUGGGUAACACUAACUGGAGGACCGAACCGACUAAUGUUGAAAAAUUAGCGGAUGACUUGUGGCUGGGGGUGAAAGGCCAAUCAAACCGGGAGAUAGCUGGUUCUCCCCGAAAGCUAUUUAGGUAGCGCCUCGUGAAUUCAUCUUCGGGGGUAGAGCACUGUUUCGGCUAGGGGGUCAUCCCGACUUACCAACCCGAUGCAAACUACGAAUACCGAAGAAUGUUAUCACGGGAGACACACGGCGGGUGCUAACGUCCGUCGUGAAGAGGGAAACAACCCAGACCGCCAGCUAAGGUCCCAAAGUCAUGGUUAAGUGGGAAACGAUGUGGGAAGGCACAGACAGCCAGGAUGUUGGCUUAGAAGCAGCCAUCAUUUAAAGAAAGCGUAAUAGCUCACUGGUCGAGUCGGCCUGCGCGGAAGAUGUAACGGGGCUAAACCAUGCACCGAAGCUGCGGCAGCGACACUAUGUGUUGUUGGGUAGGGGAGCGUUCUGUAAGCCUGCGAAGGUGACCUGUGAGGGUUGCUGGAGGUAUCAGAAGUGCGAAUGCUGACAUAAGUAACGAUAAAGCGGGUGAAAAGCCCGCUCGCCGGAAGACCAAGGGUUCCUGUCCAACGUUAAUCGGGGCAGGGUGAGUCGACCCCUAAGGCGAGGCCGAAAGGCGUAGUCGAUGGGAAACAGGUUAAUAUUCCUGUACUUGGUGUUACUGCGAAGGGGGGACGGAGAAGGCUAUGUUAGCCGGGCGACGGUUGUCCCGGUUUAAGCAUGUAGGCUGGUUAUCCAGGCAAAUCCGGAUAAUCAAGGCUGAGGUGUGAUGACGAGGCACUACGGUGCUGAAGUAACAAAUGCCCUGCUUCCAGGAAAAGCCUCUAAGCAUCAGGUAACAUCAAAUCGUACCCCAAACCGACACAGGUGGUCAGGUAGAGAAUACCAAGGCGCUUGAGAGAACUCGGGUGAAGGAACUAGGCAAAAUGGUGCCGUAACUUCGGGAGAAGGCACGCUGGUGUGUAGGUGAAGUCCCUGCGG